UACGGAAGGCAGCAGUGGGGAAUAUUGCACAAUGGGCGAAAGCCUGAUGCAGCUAUGCCGCGUGUAUGAAGAAGGCCUUAGGGUUGUAAAGUACUUUCAUCGGGGAGGAAAAAACAAAACUAAUAAUUUUAUUUCUUGACGUUACCCGAAAAAGAAGCACCGGCUAACUCCGUGCCAGCAGCCGCGGUAAUACGGAGGGUGCUAGCGUUAAUCAGAAUUACUGGGCGUAAAGAGCACGUAGGUGGUUUUUUUAAAGUCAGAUGUGAAAUCCCUGGGCUUAACCUAGGAACUGCAUUUUGAAACUGAAAUACUAGAGUAUCGUAGAGGGAGGUAGAAUUCUAGGUGUAGCGGUGAAAUGCGUAGAUAUCUGGAGGAAUACCUGUGGCGAAAGCGGCCUCCUAAACGAAUACUGACACUGAGUGCGAAAGCGUGGGGAGCAAACAGGGAUUAGAUACC
rnacentral:rRNA from 1 species